AAAAAACCCAAAAAAACCCCAACCUCAAACAAACCCCAAACUUAAAAGCUGCCUGCAAAGUUUCAUUCAAACCUGCUCUCUUGCCCACGUUGUCAGCAGGUGCUCAGGGCUGCCCCAGCUCUCCCCCCUGCAGGUUCCCAGGUGUGUUCCUGAUCCAGCUCCUUCCCUCUGUUCCAGGCUUCCUCCCUGAUCUCCAGUGCCACAGCAGCUGCCCUGCUGAGCUCUGGUGCUGUUGAUUACUGUCUGCACGUGCUCAAGUCCCUGCUGGAGUACUGGAAGAGCCAGCAGAAUGAUGAGGAGCCUGUGGCCACCAGCCAGCUGCUGAAGCCUCACACCACCUCCUCUCCCCCCGACAUGAGCCCCUUCUUCCUCCGCCAGUAUGUGAAGGGUCAUGCUGCAGAUGUUUUUGAGGCCUACACUCAGCUCCUGACAGAGAUGGUGCUGCGCCUGCCCUACCAGAUCAAGAAGAUUGCAGACACAAACUCCCGCAUCCCCCCACCCAUCUUCGAUCACUCCUGGUUCUACUUU
rnacentral:lncRNA from 12 species